rnacentral:sRNA from 1 species
UCUCUCCCAAAGCUGGGAGCUUGGUCAGAGAUGAUGACCUUUUCUUUAUGGCAGAGAACUAUAUGCAGUAAGGAAUAUAAAUGCAGUUUUAAUUCCCUUCUAGAGUCCCCACAUCAGCAGCUAAAUGCCAUUUAUUAAAGUUCAUAGGAAACAAAU